GUAGCAUUUAAACAUCAGUUCCCAUAAGAUCAUUGAAGUUAAGCAACAUUGAGCCUGUUCAGUACCUAGAUGAGUGAUAGCUUGGGAAUUCCAGGUGCUGUAAG